GAGCAACACAGAGAAAGAGUCAGGCAGAGCCAGCGAGAGCGUUGGAUCCGCAUCCCGACGGCGACCCGGAGGUUUACAAAAUAAUAAAAUAAAAUAAUUACAACCAUUAUAAAAAAACACACACGUUAUUUAUUGAUGAACCAUCUGCGCUGUUCUUUGAUGAUCUUAUGGAGGAGUAAUUUAUUGCAUCAACUCAAAAAAAAGUAAAAUCCACAACUCAUCCAGCUGGCUAACCAGCAAGUUGUAGCAGUUACAGGCUCGACACCUGGAUCCCUCAAUACAAGCUGAGGAGUCCUGAGUGAAAAUGAAGACCCUGGAGGAGCCUCCAUACCUGACAGUGGGCACAGACGUGAGCGCCAAGUACCGGGGGGCUUUCUGCGAGGCGAAGAUCAAAACCGCCAAGCGGCUGGUCAAAGCAAAGGUAAGACC